UACAGAGGGUGCAAGCGUUAAUCGGAAUUACUGGGCGUAAAGGGCGCGUAGGUGGUUUGUUAAGCGAGAUGUGAAAUCCCUGGGCUCAACCUAGGAACUGCAUCUUGAACUGGCGAACUAGAGUACUGUAGAGGAUAGUGGAAUUUCCGGUGUAGCGGUGAAAUGCGUAGAUAUCGGAAGGAACACCAGUGGCGAAGGCGGCUAUCUGGACAGAUACUGACACUGAGGCGCGAGAGCGUGGGGAGCAAACAGG
rnacentral:rRNA from 1 species